AUCUCCUUUCGGCCUUCUGGUUAAGAUCAUGUGUAGUAUCUGUUCUUAUCAGUUUAAUAUCUGAUAUGUCCUCGGUCUGAGAACGCUAUAUUAAACAGUUUUUGGAGCAGGGAGAUGGGAGAGGAGCUUGCUCUGUCCGUCCACUCCAGGCAUUGACCUGGUAUUGCAGUACCUUCAGGAAUGGUGCACCCCCU
ensembl:snRNA U2 U2 spliceosomal RNA